rnacentral:rRNA from 1 species
GUGCCAGCAGCCGCGGUUAAUACGGAGGGUGCAAGCGUUAAUCGGAAUUACUGGGCGUAAAGCGCACGCAGGCGGUUUGUUAAGUCAGAUGUGAAAUCCCCGGGCUCAACCUGGGAACUGCAUCUGAUACUGGCAAGCUUGAGUCUCGUAGAGGGGGGUAGAAUUCCAGGUGUAGCGGUGAAAUGCGUAGAGAUCUGGAGGAAUACCGGUGGCGAAGGCGGCCCCCUGGACGAAGACUGACGCUCAGGUGCGAAAGCGUGGGGAGCAAACAGGAUUAGAUACCCUGGUAGUCC